CGAACGGGUGAGUAACGCGUGAGGAACCUGCCUCAAAGAGGGGGACAACAGUUGGAAACGACUGCUAAUACCGCAUAAGCCCACGGCUCGGCAUCGAGCAGAGGGAAAAGGAGCAAUCCGCUUUGAGACGGCCUCGCGUCCGAUUAGCUAGUUGGUGAGGUAACGGCCCACCAAGGCGACGAUCGGUAGCCGGACUGAGAGGUUGAACGGCCACAUUGGGACUGAGACACGGCCCAG
rnacentral:rRNA from 1 species